GACCUUCCAGGUAUAAAAGCCAAGCGUUUGCCUCCACAUUUCAGUAUCCACUCGACGUUUCCAGCAAAAACAACCAACAACCAAUACAAUGGCUUCUCUCAAGAUGAUCGCUCUGUGGGCCUUUUUGGUCGUUCUGGUGGCAGCAGUCAACGCUGCUCCCCGUUAUUUUAUCAUCGACGAUGGUGAAGAAGUCGCUUCUCCGAUGGUGCGCGUCCGCCGUGAUGACAAGUACGUUGCUGCCGCCAGCGGCGGUGGAAACUACGGAAAGGGAACAGUUGGGCCCGUUUACACCUUCGUCAAGACCGAUCCUAAGGCCAACUUCAAGUGGGGAGUCCGCCACCGCGCUGGAGCCCAAUACGGCCGAUAAACUAAAUCGCCCUGGACGCUCUGCAGUUAACCUAAAUAUCUCUCACGAGCUGGCUCUUGAGAACACUGACGAAGACCCACAGGCUGCAUCUCUCGUUUCUAUAACAUGUUACACUUCCCCCUUUUGUUUUUUGAGUGAUUUUAAAAGAAUUUGAAGCGCAAAAGAAAAAUAGGAUGUGUUACAUGGUUUGUUAAGAGUUGUGAUGAAAUGUCUAUUGAGAAUUUAAACUUGAUCGACUGGCAUUUCAUUCUCUGUUUAUAUAAUGUUAUACGGUGCAAUAAAAAUCUGAAAUGAA